ACUCCUACGGGGGGCAGCAGUGGGGGAAUAUUGCACAAUGGGGCGCAAGCCUGAUGCAGCCAUGCCGCGUGUGUGAAGAAGGCCUUCGGGGUUGUAAAAGCACUUUCAGUCGUGAGGAAGGUGGUGUUGUUAAUAGCAGCAUCAUUUGACGUUAGCGACAGAAGAAGCACCGGCUAACUCCGUGCCAGCAGCCGCGGUAAUACGGAGGGUGCGAGCGUUAUCCGGAUUUAUUGGGUUUAAAGGGUCCGUAGGGCGGAUUAAUAAGUCAGUGGUGAAAUCCCAUCGCUUAACGAUGGAACUGCCAUUGAUACUGUUAGUCUUGAAUGAGGGUGCAGUGGGUUGGAAUGGUGUAGUGUAGCGGUGAAAUGCGAUAGAUAUU
rnacentral:rRNA from 1 species